UACGUAGGGGGCGAGCGUUGUCCGGAUUUAUUGGGCGUAAAGAGCGCGUAGGCGGAGCGUUAAGUCUGGCCUGAAAGCCUCCGGCUCAACCGGGGAAGGUGGCUGGAAACUGGCGUUCUUGAGGGCGACAGAGGAGAGUGGAAUUCCUGGUGUAGCGGUGAAAUGCGUAGAUAUCAGGAGGAACACCCAUGGCGAAGGCAGCUCUCUGGGUCGGACCUGACGCUGAGGCGCGAAAGCGUGGGGAGCGAACGGG
rnacentral:rRNA from 1 species